rfam:Spirochaetes bacterium RBG_16_67_19 RBG_16_scaffold_14282, whole genome shotgun sequence.
UAGAUUGGCGUGGGCGAUCCCUUCGGCAUGGCCGUGGCUCACGGCGUAGCCUCGGGCAUCGGCGGGAUUCGGGCGGCCGGAGAUCUGGUCGCGCGGAUGC